CAUGACUCAUGAGUGUUGUCACAUCUCUGUAAUUUGGGUUUAUGAUGAUACUCUAUACUAUUUAUUGUAGCUUUAUUAGAUCUCAACCUGUGGAAGUAAUCUAAUACAAACGACACUUGUAUGGAAUUUUCAGGACAUGUUUCUAAGAUCACAGAGGAUACGAUACUCUCUAGGUUUGAGGACUAGCUCCAGUUACGCUUUUGGGUCCAGUGAAUGUAUGAUACCCAUUAUGUGGUCCAAAAAGAAUGAGAUUUGACGGACGCUCUAGUGGCCAAAUUCAUAUGGCUACCUUCACUCUAUGCCUUAAGAGCUGAAAAGUUUCCGUGGUUUCGAAUACUUUGCUUCUUUCAGAUUAACGAAAACCCUAUUUAGUUGCAAAGACUGAGAAGAGAAUAAGAGUCGAGGGACCAUAUAAAGCUUGUAAUUGUACGUUUAUGCGGAUUCUCCACUUUCCAUGGCUGUGAGAAACUAUCUGAGGAAAAGUGCAGUGACCUUUGGCAAAAGAUCACUGAAUAAAUUUUCUGGUGGUCUGAGAACUCGCUGCAGUGAAUGAAUGAGAUCCAUGUAAGUGGCCCCAAAAGAACAUAAUUUACAACACUCUGGUAGGUAAAUUCAUGUGGAUACUAAAACUGACUCAUUUAUGGCUAAAAAGUAUUGAUUUGGUACAUGAAUUCAUCAGCUUAACCGUUGAAGUGGGAAGCUAUCCUAGUGGUAAAUAAGUUGAUCUCUGGCCCUUUCCAGGUGGCAAAAAGUGAAGGCUUUACAGUGUCACCCUUUUUCUUUUGGUUGCGUCGUUAUUCUUUAGUGCCAGUAUAUACCUUGGAAAAAGUGAGCUAUUAUUCUAAAAGAUAGACCAAGAAAUAGAUUUCUCACACUGAAUAUCUUUGUUCAUUUGGAUGGUCCAUAGGCAUUGACAUAUUCUGCUAGUAGUGGUUGUGAGUGAUAGAAUCUUGUUAUCCGAGACAACCUCGUGGGAAUGGAUUUAGCACCAAUGCUAAUCACUAAUCAGUACAAGAAUAUGCGUUGAUGUAAUUGUACCUAUUAGCAUUGUUCACUCAGGAUUCUUGGUUAUUUGUUACCUGACUAUUCAGUGUGUGAUUUUAUUGGAGUUUUACAUGUUUACACUUGUCUCUGUAAUCUACUUUUGGUAUAAAAUCAUAUUGAGUACAACUUUCUUUUCUCAGGGAUGUGCGAAAUUGUCUUUGGGGCGGCAUAAGUGGAAUCAUUUAUCUUCUACGUGAUAAAGUGAUGUGGAAAGUGUCACCAAGAAAGGAAUCAUUAACUUUGAACUUAGGCAAGGUGAGUUACGUGUUGACUGUUCUUGGUACAGCUAGCUAUACUAAUGCAUAUCUCUUUGUAGCAUCAGUUUGAAUUUAGACUGUAGGGCAGUAUUUCAUAGAUAAGAGGACUUCUACCAAGUGGGCAAAAUUUGUAUUAACUUACAGCAGCUAAGUAUGAGUGUAUAUCUAAUUAACUCGUACUAGUUAGGCAAAACUAGUAAACUACAGACCCUAUAUGCAUAAAACCGUGGUAAUAACUUGCAGGAAUUUCAAACCAGAAGUAAUUUACAAGCAUGCAGUCUAGUUUUGCCAUAGCAGCAUCAGAAUGAUGGAACAAUUCCAUAUCCGGUGUCAAAUGUUAUCAUUGUGGAGAAAGCUUGGUUUGCCUCUUCAUCGACAUCUUUCUUCUUUGCAAACCGGCCCUUGAUCCGUGGUCUUUUCUCUGCAUACGCUUUCCUUGAAGCAUAUCUUAUCGUCUUCUCAAAUUUCCUCAUCUUCUUCUUCUCUCUGUAUCUCAGGACUCUAGCUUCUCUGUCCCUUGGACUGAGCAUCUGAGCUGGAGGGUAAGGUGGUUGGUCUGUUACCGCUUUGGGCGAUCUUGGGUUUGAUACUGUUGCGUCACUCGUUGUUGACUCCGGCACAACUCCCAGGUCCAUAGAUGAAACAUUCACCUAAUGACAGUAACAAAGACAUUCUUAGAAAUUUACUUCAUGGAUUUGUGUGAAAGAAGCAGCAUGCUGGUCAUAGUAACGGAUCUGAAUUAAAUAUAUGAAAGCUUACCAUAUGACUGAGGGAACCAUUGGAGCUUCGAAGAGCUCCCCAGGAGCCACAGUUGAUACUCAGCUGAAAGUUCUGUUGCUCUUGGUACAUGCCCUUUGAUACUUCAAUUUGAAGUGGAACAACUCCAUCUUCCCCAUAGCUCCUCUGAGGUACGUUGCAGUCUAGUUGAUACUGAUUGGAUUGAUCUGUGAAUUGCUUAUCACUCGAACUAUAAUCAACAAGGUUCAGAAACUCAUCCCCAAUCGAGAAGCCAUUGUUGUUACCACUGUUUUUCCCUGAAUUAGGCAACAACCAUGAAGCCGCCUCUGCUUCAUCUUCAUCCUCUUCUUCUUGACCAAGCACAAGUCUGUUCUCUGGAUCUGUCACUGUUGUCUCACAUGAAUGGUUAGUGGCCGUGGAACUGUAAGAGUACUCAGAAAUGGGCAGAAUUGGAACUCGUUGAUGGCGUCUAGCAAGUGGGUUUGCGGAAUGAAUCUCUGAAUCACAGGUUGUGCAUAGAGAUGCAGCAUCUGCCUUGCAGAAAAAGGCAGCCGGGGCUCGCUCACAUGAUUGACAGACUCGAACACGUUCAUGGCGGGAAGCAAGACGAUUGGCAGCAUGAACUUGAGCAUCACAACUGGAGCACAAGUAGGCAGAAUCAGCCCGGCAGUACACGGUGCAGGCGGCUGAUCGGCAUGUAUCACAGGCUUGUGCCCAGUUACUCUCUACUUUCAACAUACUAACCGCAGAUGUUGUAGUUGUUUGAUGGUGAGUGAGAUCGUAUGUAAAGGCAGCAGGGGACUAAGAAGGCUAUAUUAGUUGUUGAAUGGAAAUGGAAAGGAAGGAUAGAAUUCUGAGGGCUGGACACGUGGCGAGAAGUUUGUGGGUUUGAUGUUGAGUGAUCAUCUUGUGGCUGGCUGAGUUUUUGAGAAGGGGUCCAGUGCAGAGAUGCUUACAGCUUUGGAAUCAUCAACCAGCACGAAAUGUGAAAGAAAGAAAAAAACUAAUUGUCUUCUUAUAUCUUUGCAAUGGCACCAAUAGUUACUACUUUUUCUCUCUUUCUUCCUCAAUAAGUGUAAACACCUCUUCCUAUGUAAUCUUCUAUAGGACCCAUCCACAUGUUACCUAGGUUCUGAAACGUGCAACUUCUAACUAUUUUUGUAUCAUCUACUACUAUUUUGGUAAAG